rnacentral:rRNA from 1 species
AUUGAACGCUGGCGGCAGGCCUAACACAUGCAAGUCGAGCGAGCAGCGGACGGGUGAGGAAGGUCUGGGAAACUGCAUGAUGGCGGGGGAUAACGACAGGAAACGGUAGCUAAUACAGCAUACAAUAAGCGGUGCACAGAUGGUAUUAGCUAGUAGGUGGGGUAACGCCUCACCUAGGCGACGAUCCAUAGCUGGUCUGAUAUGAUGACCAGCCACACUGGAACUGAGACACGGUCCAGACUCCGACGGUAGGCAGCAGUGGGGAAUAUUGCACAAGGGGCGCAAGCCUGAUGCAGCCAUGCCGCGUGUGUGAAGAAGGCCUUCGGGUUUUAAAGCACUUUCAGCGGGGAGGCGUUACCCGCAGAAGAAGCACCGGCUAACUCCGUGCCAGCCGCCGCGGUAAUAC